rnacentral:misc_RNA from 1 species
GUUUGGUGAGAGUGAAGCCAAUGUUAGAGAAAUUUUUGACAAGGCCCGACAAUCUGCACCAUGUGUCCUUUUCUUUGAUGAGCUUGACUCUAUUGCUACUCAGAGGGGAAGCAGUGUUGGUGAUGCUGGUGGUGCAGCUGAUCGGGUUUUGAACCAACUUCUUACUGAAAUGGAUGGCAUGUCAGCAAAGAAGACUGUUUUCAUAAUUGGGGCCACCAACAGACCUGACAUUAUUGACCCAGCACUUUUGCGUCCUGGCCGUCUAGACCAAUUGAUUUAUAUUCCUCUUCCAGAUGAAGAUUCACGACAUCAAAUCUUCAAAGCUUGUCUGAGGAAAUCACCUGUCUCAAAAGAUGUUGAUUUGAGGGCAUUGGCCAAGUAUACUCAAGGAUUCAGUGGAGCUGAUAUUACUGAAAUUUGCCAGCGGGCAUGCAAAUAUGCCAUAAGGGAGAAUAUAGAGAAGGAUAUUGAAAAAGAGAAGAGGAGAAGGGAGAAUCCUGAGGCAAUGGAUGAGGAUGUUGAGGAUGAGGUGGCUGAGAUCAAAGCUGCUCAUUUUGAGGAGUCAAUGAAAUUUGCUCGCAGGAGUGUUAGUGAUGCUGACAUUCGCAAAUAUCAAGCAUUUGCUCAGACAUUGCAGCAAUCUAGGGGAUUUGGGACAGAAUUUAGGUUUUCAGAAACAAGGACCAGUGGUGCAGCAUCUGAUCCAUUCACAACUUCAGCUGGUGGAGCUGAAGAUGAUGAUCUGUAUGGUUAGGUUCUCUUUCAGAUACUUCAGUAACAUUUUGCCUUCACCAGAAUGUAUGACAUUUAUAGCUUUUGGUUAGGACAGGGCAACUAGUCACUGGGCAAUGAGUAGCUACUGUUACAACUUUUGCUUUCUUGUAAUAUGGGAAUUUAGUGCUUUGCUGUUCAGGCUGAUGUCUGUUUUACAGUGUACCAUAAUGCUAUUUGUUCUUAUUCUGCAGUACAAUCCGUGCUGGGCUGUAUAUUUUGUGGUAGUUUUUGCUAGGUGUGGUAGCUUCUCUUAAGGAGAUUCUGGAUCCUCCUGAUUGAUUUUUCUGAGUCUGGCUGUGCUUACAGAGGAUGAUCAGAACAUUCAACUUUGGGGUGAUGAGAUGCCUUAAUAUGGUCCUGUGAAAAUGCCAGUAAAUUGUAGUUUUGCUAUUAGAUCAACGAGGCUUUGAGCCUAUUUGAUGGUGAUGGCCUGAAUUAAGAUCUCUUGUUAUCUGCCUGAGGGUUUCGGAAAUGUAAGAGUUUUAUUGGAUUAUGGCUGCUUGGUAGGGGUGGGGGGAGAUUCUUGGGAGUGAGCCUCAUCCCUGCAGCAGGCUGUUUGGUAGUCCUCAAAAUUUCAUGGACCCAAAGCCUGUGCAUGACCUGAAAUUUUACCCUUAAUAUUUAAGUAAAUGUUGGCACAAUUAAUACAUCUUAGCGUCCUUUGUAGGCACUGUGCAAGGGUUUUGGGAUCACAGAAAAGGAAAAGGAAAUGGGCUCCUGACAUAAAUUGUUAAUUUUCAUUAUUCCUCAUGAAACAGAAACAAAACAUAAUUAUGAUUAAUACUUUCAUCAUUU